rnacentral:rRNA from 1 species
CCCUUAGAUGUUCUGGGCUGCACACGUGCUACACUGGCAGGUUCAGCGAGCUUCAUGCCCUGAUCUGAAAGGAAUGGGAAAUCUUUUCAAAACCUGCCGUGCUUGGGAUAGAUGUUUGCAAUUAUUCAUCUUCAACGAGGAUUGCCUUGUAAGCGCACGUCAUCAGCGUGCAUUGAAUACGACCCUGUAUUCUGUACACACCGCCCGUCGCUCCUACCGAUUGAAGUUUUCGGUGAGUCGACAGGAGGAUUUUUUUGAAACUGGUUCGCCAGUGGAUUUUAGAUCCAAAUGCCAACGAAUCGAUGGCUUUAGAGGAAGGAGAAGUCGUAACA